ensembl:ncRNA F12F3.6 ncRNA
CUCUCAGUUUCCAUCAUCUCACAAUACCAACAAAUGAAGUUUGCGAAGAAAUUCGCACAUCUAUGAAAAAGUGGAAGGGUGCCAAGAUGGAGAGAGAGAAAAAAGAAAUAAAGAGGGGUGGAGCUGGUUUUUUUUGGGGCUGCUCUCUCCAAUUUGCACAAAGUAUUCCGAAUUGGCUUACUUCCAAUCGCCCCCAUCGAAUUUA